CAUAAUAAAUCUCAUAACGAGGUGUAGAUGAACUCACAAAGCAAGGCUUAGAUAGAGGUGACAUGCGGUGCCGAGUACAUAGCUUAAAACCAGAAGUCUAUAUGAAACCUAACCACACUUCGCUGGACCAAGAUCCUUCUUUCUACUAAUGUUGAACCUUCGUCUUUGUGCUAUUCUAGUUGGCUAGCUCGGCUCUGACGAGGCUCGAACCUAUAGUUUCCGCCUUGGCAAGACUGACUGAUUGAACUACAAUCCCAGGAAAAUUAGGUAUACAGAUAACUCCAAGCUGAAUCUCCUUAAGGGGUAAAUAGCUCGAUUGGAAGAGUCACUUUAAGUAAGAAGAAGAAAACUCUUUUUAACUCAAGUUUGAUUGAGCACACCUAUAUACAGCAACUCCUAGCUCUAAUAGCUUCAGCACCUCUGCAAUCAGCUUCGCUUCAUCUCUAUCUUGAGAUUUGACAAAUGAUUCGGAUUCUUCAGAUGAAACAGCCUUACCUUUGGUUCUGGAUAAACUGGUAUGUUGCUUUGUGACUUGUGGGAGAGGAUAGGAUGAUUCCUAAAAACUACCUACCUAUGCUAGUGAUGAAAAUCAUUCCUUUCCUCCCCUGAGCUAAGGGAUGGCAGCAUCAUUUGAAUAUGGUUGCAUCUACUUGUGCUACCACUUUGACUUUGACGAAUGAAAGAUCGACCCGCUCACUCAAUCCCCGAAAGCCAUGAUUGGUUUAUGUUUCUUUUAAAGUGUACACUUGUCGAUGGGCCUCGAUCAAGAGAGGCGUUUAUGGUGCUUGAUUGGGAAGUGCACUUUAUUCUCGUUUGAUUUGUCUACGGCGGAUAGAUUACUUGUUCUGUCCCAAACCUUUCCUUUCUAUUUCUCAGUAAGCGGACUGUAGGAGCAUUGGGGGGGGCAUUGUCUACUUUUGACUCAAUAAGAGGAGUCUUCUAGCUCUAUAAAGAGCCCAAGGACAACAAUAGGAAGACUAAGAAGAAUAAGAAAAGGAGUUAUGGAACGUAUACUAAAGCAAAAGAACAUUAUUGAAACUUAGCCAGAAGGCUAGCUUUUCGAAUAAGAUAUAGGCAGGAAAGUUGUUCUUUGAGUGAAGAGUUUCAAAUGAUCAAGACAUAAGAAAGGGCUACUUGCCUAACUCUUUAGAACUGGUUUCAUAUUGGUGUGGAACU
rnacentral:lncRNA from 1 species